GCAAAGGUAGCAUAAUCAUUUGCCCUUUAAUUGGGGGCUGGCAUGAAUGGACCUCCUUUGUUUAACUGUCCCUAGCUUUUUAAUGUAAACUCCUUUAUAGGCGAAGAAGCCUAUAUCUAAGUGAAGGACCAGAAGACCCUAUAGAGCUCUGCACCUACGCCUAAUUUUAAGCCCGCUAGGAGCUUCGUUGGGGCGACGAUAGAAUUAACUUCUUCUAAUAAAAUCUUUACAUUCAGUUCCUCAAUAACCCGCACAAGCGAACUAAAACAAGCUACCUUAGGGAUAACAGUCUAAUUUCUUUUGAUAGUCCACAUUAACAAAGAAGUUUGGCAC
rnacentral:rRNA from 1 species